rnacentral:tmRNA from 1 species
CGUAAAGGCUUCGACGGGGACCAUGAGAUAUGAUAAGCGUAGCGGGCUGGCUAAUCCCGUCACAAUGGCUAAACUUAAAUAAUAAACGACAACAAUAAAGUUGCAAUGGCUGCCUAACUAAUUGCCCCUCGGGGCGAUUAGUGGCAGUGCUGUGGUCAAUGCACCACCCGUUCCUCUUAGGAGUACCUCGACCUAAGACUGAGCGUAACCAGAGAGGUGAACUUGAAUUGAGAGUUUUGUCUGUAUCAAUCAAGCAUUAAGGCAAUACCCGAAUGAAAGCCUGUUAAUCGGCGUUUUGUAGGGGAAUCACCAAUAGAUUAACUGCCUACGGAGAAAGUUGUGUCAAGUGAUUUUCGGACAGGGGUUCGACUCCCCUCGAGGACACCA